AUUGAACGCUGGCGGCAGGCCUAACACAUGCAAGUCGAACGAGUGGCGGACGGGUGAGUAAUGUCUGGGAAACUGCCCGAUGGAGGGGGAUAACUACUGGAAACGGUCGCUAAUACCGCAUACCAUCGGAUGUGCCCAGAUGGGAUUAGCUAGUAGGUGGGGUAAUGGCUCACCUAGGCGACGAUCCCUAGCUGGUCUGAGAGGAUGACCAGCAACACUGGAACUGAGAAACGGGCCAGAACCGUACGGGAGGCAGCAGUGGGGAAUAUUGCAAAAUGGGCGAAAGCCGGAUGCAGCAAUGCCGCGUGUAUGAAGAAGGCCUUCGGGUUGUAAAGUACUUUCAGCGGGGAGGCGUUACCCGCAGAAGAAGCACCGGCUAACUCCGUGCCAGCAGCCGCGGUAAUUC
rnacentral:rRNA from 1 species